rnacentral:lncRNA from 1 species
AUGUUGUGGGUGAUCCAAUGGUAGAUUUGUGCGAAGAAAGAUGAAUCAUUCUUUCUCUCUACAUUGCAAUGGCUUUCUCCAAAGAAUAUUUCUAAAAGAGAUUAGACAACUUCUAGAGACCGCUAUCACAACCAUUGUACUCGUUGAACCCUUGAAUCCGAAGAAUGCACAGAUUGAAUGGAAGUCAUGUGGGCCUCCCACUAGGAGGCUUGCUGUGCCAAAAGUAAGAAAAACCCCAUCUCUCUUUCC